CAGUGUGAUAAACCAACGCUCUCCUGCCACUGAAGCUGGUGGCUUUCACUUGGCCACACAGUAGAAUCACGCAGGGAACUCAGUAAGUCCCGAAGCCAAGCGGCAGCCAGGUCAAGAAAAGCAGAAGGGGAAAUUCCUUGGGGGGUUCCAAUAUGAGCCAAGCUUGUGAACCAGAGUUUUCACGAAUCACCUGGGAAUCUUGUUAAAGACACAGAUCUGACUCAGUUGCCUUGGGAGGGGCCUGGGCAUCUACAUUUCUCACCAGCUCCCAGGUGAUGCUCAUGUGGCUGCUCCAGGGGCCACAAUCUGAGUAGUGAGGUCUGAAGCCUGUGGCCCUCAAGCUUUCAACAAGCAUCAGAAUCACCUGGAGGGCCAGUCAAGAUGCAGAGGGCCAGGCCCACCCCAGAGCUGCCGAUCUGACAGGUUUGAGGUGGGGGCCAGAGAAUCUGCAUUUCCAUCAAGCCUCCCAGUGACCCUGAUGCUGCUGGUCCGAGGACCAGAGGUGUUGUACAUCUCCUUCACCCGCCGGUAGCGGAAGGCCAGCUUCCUCAUCCAGUCCACGCCGCCGUGCACGCCGGAGCCCAGGCACAGGUUGGCUCCCGGGGCCGAACUGUGGAAGCCAUCGGCGGAGAAGUUGAGCAGUCAUUCUGUUUCCUGCAUGCAGUGGCCAAGCCAAGGAAAGCCUCUCUCUCCCCCACUUUGGAAUCUGAAGCUGGAAAGGCAAUUCCAAAAAAGUGGUUGGCCUCGGUUCACCCCGAGAGAAGAGUCCAGAAGAAAAUACCAGUGAGCUCUUGAUACUUUGAUCCCCAAAUCUGCCCUGCCUCACA